UACAGAGGUGGCAAGCGUUGUUCGGAAUUACUGGGCGUAAAGGGCGCGUAGGCGGCCAUCUAAGUCAGACGUGAAAUCCCCCGGCUUAACCUGGGAACUGCGUCUGAUACUGGACGGCUAGAGUAUGGGAGAGGGAUGUAGAAUUCCAGGUGUAGCGGUGAAAUGCGUAGAUAUCUGGAGGAAUACCGGUGGCGAGGGCGGCAUCCUGGACCAUUUACUGACGCUGAGGCGCGAAAGCUAGGGGAGCAAGCGGG
rnacentral:rRNA from 1 species